rnacentral:misc_RNA from 1 species
UUAAAUAUUAACUUUUUUACUCAGACGACACUAAUAAUUCAGGGUUUUGGGUCCUCUGGCGGGCACUUACCAGCCGAAGCCAGUAGCUAGGCGGCCCGCCAAAGCAACAAAGGUAUAGUAUACAAAGGGUGGGAGAUCUACCCGUAAGGGCAUGAACUCGGUAAUGAUCCUUCCGCAGGUUCACCUACGGAAA